rnacentral:rRNA from 1 species
CCCUUAGAUGUCCUGGGCCGCACGCGCGCUACACUGAGUGUCUGAGAUACGAGUCUGCCUGGUCCGGCAAGGUCUAGGUAAUCGCUAAAAGACACAUCAUGCUUGGGAUAGAUUAUUGCAAAUAUUAAUCUUGAACGAGGAAUUCCUAGUAAUCGCAAGUCAACAGCUUGCGUUGAUUACGUCCCUGCCCUUUGUACACACCGCCCGUCGCUACUACUGAUUGGAUGUUUAAGCGAGGUUCUCGAACUGCUAGCGACUUAGCUUCGGUGAGGUCGCAGUGUGGGAAGUGAACCUAGCUUUGGUGUCUAGAGGAAGUAAAAGUCGUAACA